CCACACAAAUCACCCCCCUCCCCUUGUGUGGUAUUGACGUUAAGAACAUCACUUACUAAGUGAUCACUUUCAAAUUCAGAGAAACCAUGGAAUUAACAAAAAUGGCAAUCCUGAGCCAAAUCCUGUUUUCCGAAAACAAACAAAGAUUAAGCAAAAAAAAGGAUAGGUGCAGAGACUCAAUGGAAGCUAUUCUAACAAAUGGAGUUAAAUUCUUUGGUAGAGGAAUCUUUACAUCGAAACUUCAGAAAGAAAAAGAAUGAAGUGAAGG
rnacentral:ncRNA from 1 species